GACGUAGGGCGCGAGCGUUGUCCGGAUUUAUUGGGCGUAAAGCGCUCGCAGGUGGUUCGUCGCGUCGUGCGUGAAAGACCCCGGCUCAACUGGGGAGUGUCGUGCGAUACGGGCGGACUGGAGGCCAGUAGGGGGAUGCGGAAUUCCGGGUGUAGUGGUGGAAUGCGUAGAGAUCUCCAAGAACACCAGUUGCGAAGGCGGCUGACUGGACACAUAUUGACGCUGAGGCUCGAAAGCAUGGGGAGCAAACAGG
rnacentral:rRNA from 1 species